UGCCCUGCGCCUCGCUCAGCUGGGCCGGGACCCGCGGCUCCAGCUUCUGGAAACCCCCUUUCCGAGGGGAGGCAGGCUUCGGCCUCUUUCCUAAAUCCAGUCGGGAAGUCCUCUUCAAGAGGGAUUGAACUCCAGACCUUGCGCUUGCAAGGCAGCCAGCAGAACUACUGAGCUAAAUCCCCAGCCUCUGGAGAAGGAAUUCUGGGCAGCUUCAUUUCCCAGAAGUUGCUGCUUCUAGUCAGAAGAAGCUAUCGAGGUUGGAAGUAGAGUGAGGAACAUUCUCAAAAGACCCCUCCCAGAAAAGCUGUAUAAA